GUGGGGAAUCUUGCGCAAUGGGCGAAAGCCUGACGCAGCCAUGCCGCGUGAAUGAUGAAGGUCUUAGGAUUGUAAAAUUCUUUCACCGGGGACGAUAAUGACGGUACCCGGAGAAGAAGCCCCGGCUAACUUCGUGCCAGCAGCCGCGGUAAUACGAAGGGGGCUAGCGUUGCUCGGAAUUACUGGGCGUAAAGGGAGCGUAGGCGGACUGUUAAGUUAGAGGUGAAAGCCCAGGGCUCAACCUUGGAAUUGCCUUUGAUACUGGCAGUCUUGAGUACGGAAGAGGUAUGUGGAACUCCGAGUGUAGAGGUGAAAUUCGUAGAUAUUCGGAAGAACACCAGUGGCGAAGGCGACAUACUGGUCCGUUACUGACGCUGAGGCUCGAAAGCGUGGGGAGCAA
rnacentral:rRNA from 1 species